UCCUGCUCCCUGGAGAGAGCGGGUUGGAAUGUUCCAGGUCAGCCGCUUGGUGGCGCCCGUGAAGCGGGGAUUCGAUUGGGCCUUCACUCUAGAUUUCCUGAGUCUGGUACACCCUGGUGCUGUGGCGGCCCCAGAAGUAAAGAUGGGAAUGGGCGGCCCUUCUUAUGCUUGGAAAUAUUCCAAACUGUUGAGCCAUCCUUCCCCUGAGAGGGACUGAGGUCGGGUGAGGGCCAGGCUUCGCUAGGGGUCACGCGUCGAGUUAGCCGCAAGCAGGCCCUGGCCUGAGGUUUGUUAGCAUGCUGGGAGGUACAACCCCUCUGCCGCCCUGUGCCCCCUUCCCCGCAUUUAUCAUCAAAGAUUCUCAAGAGCAGGAGCGCGUCCCUUCUCUGUUUCUCCCAGCGGCGCCGGGCGCUAUAAGAGCUCGCAUGCCUCCCCUUCCAUGCAGAUGGUGGGGCCUUAAUUGGAGGCCCGCAAAACAGCUGAGCUGUGGAUGGAGUGCUCAGAUGAAACUUCUGAAAAGGUCCAAGGAAGACAGAUAGGACCAGCCAAUAUGACUCAUAGCAUGUGACUUGCAAUUUGGACACAUGGGCCCCUCCAAGGUGGCAAAGGGCAUUCUCAACUCCAGCUUCAGCCCCUUCUGAAGACAUCUGCAAACCCCAGUGUCCAAAUCUCCAGACACCCAGAGAGAAUGGAGCAACCUGACUCUGUAAGGAUGUUUAGUGGCUCAGCUGCAGCCCUGGGAGCAAAGGUGAUUGCGCAGCAGGAACUGCUCGACUGUCUGGAGAUGAUUCUCAACUUAGCAACUACUCUUUCUGCUAAAGACCCAGGGAUCCGUCUACCUGCUCACCUCUGCCACUCAUUUCCUUGCAGAUGUUGCUACUGGAACCCAGCUGCCAUGCUGUAAGGAAGCCCCGGCCACCCCAUGGAGAGGCACAUGUGAAGGGGAGCAGCAUAGAGUGCCCACUUGAAGGCCCUGUUUGACUGGGAGUCCUGUAUUUUAUCUGGCAACCCUAGUUCUAGGGGAAAAGGAGAGGAGGAAAAAAAUGCUUCCGACUUCAAGGGACAGUUCAGAAAGCCAGAUGUAGCACACAGGCAAACAGCACCCAGAGGCAUGAGAGAUAAAGGUGAGUAGGAGCAAAGUCAUAAAAGGUCACCUUGCUGAGGUCCGUCUUGAGUUUCACCCUGAAGCAGUGGGGAGCGGUGGGAGGGUUUAGAGCAAGGGAGAGACACAGUAGUUUUGUAUUUUAGAGAUUUCAGGCUACUGUGUGAGGGGGUGGGAGCAUGUAGGCAGGAAAACCAAGAGAAAGGAGUCUCUUGCCCUGCAGUGCUCCUCCUCCGCAUUGUCACCACGAAGCCAUGAGAACACUGGUGGACUAAUCUCCCCACUUUAUAUUUUUUUUUCUACAAUAUGUUUUCUUUUUUUUUACAAUGUGUUUUAAGCCAUAAAUUUCCCUUAACCACUGCCCCAGGAUAUCCCACAAGUUUUGAUAUGGUUAGGUUUUUUUUUUCUUUUUUUUUCUUUUUUUUUUUUUUUUGAAUUUUUUAUUAGUUGGAGGCUAAUUACUUCACAACAUUUCAGUGGGUUUUGUCAUACAUUGAUAUGAAUCAGCCAUAGAUUUACACGUAUUCCCCAUCCCGAUUCCCCCUCCCUGGUUAGGUUUUAUAUCACUUCAUUCAGAAUAUUUUCUAAUUUCCCUUAAUAUGUCUCUGACGUAUGGAUUCUUUAUGUGUGUUGUAUGAUUUCCAAAUAUUUAAGAUUUUUCCAUGUAUCUCAUUGUCAUUUAUUUUCAUUUCCUUCCACUGUGGGCAGAGGACAUACUUGGCACAUUCUUUAAAUUUUAUGAAUAUCGUUUGGUGGGUGAACAUAUGGUCUAUCAUGGUGAAGGUAGCACGUUUGCUGGAAAAGAAAGUGACUGCUGCAGCUGUUGAGUUUCAUCCUCGUAAAUGUCACUUCCAAUCAGGGUGGUUGACAAUGUUCUGCUCUUCUGUGUGUUUCCUUAUUAUUUAGUCCAGAGCUAUUCUGUCCUCUGAUGGUGUGGGGUGUAAAAAGCUCCAGUGAUUGUUAUAGAUUAGCCUAGUCCUCCCCUGUUUUGGUCAGUUUUUUUCUUCAAAUGUUUUGAAGCUCUAUUGCUGCACACACACACACAUGCAUGUAUGAUUAUUAUGAUUGUAGCCAUAGGGAGUUCCCUGUGUAGCUUGGAUAACACUCAUCCCCUUAAAAGUCCACCAUGUCUGAUAGCAUUACCACCACCACAGCUUUCCUAGUCUCACUGCCAGCUUAGCAUAUCUUUAUCCAUUCUUUACUUUCACCUGAUUUGUGUCUUUAUAUUUAAAGUGAGCAUAUUUAUAGACAGCAUAUAUUAAUAGUUGGGUCUUUUCUGUUCACUGGAGGAUCUCUGCCCUUUAGUUGGUAUUUUAGCACAUUUACAUCUAAUCAUUACACACAUUAUUGAUAUGGUUGACUUAGUUCCAGGAUUUUACUACUUGCUUUCUGGUUUUCCUCUGUUUUCAUGCCUCUGUUCCUGUUUGGAUUGUGGAGGAAGAAUACACCAUUUUUGGCACUCUAUCCCAAUCAUUUAUCAGGUGAUGUGCUAAUUUUGAGUGAUUUUUUAAAAAUUUUAUGUAUUUAUUUACUUGUAAACAUUUAUUUAUUUGACCGUGCCAGGUCUUAGUUGUGGCAUGUGGGAUCCAGUUCCCUGACCUGGGAUCGAAGCUGGGUCCCCUGCAUUGAAAGCAUGGAGUCUUAGCCACUCAUCCACCAGGGAAGUCCGUUUGAAUGAUUUUUAGAACUGGAACGAACUCUGCAGCAGGUCCAAGGCUACAGUAUGAACAGUCCUGCCACUUAUGUAAAACAAUAAGGUAGAUUCCAUCGUGGAGGAAGAUGCUAUAGGGAGCCUUGGGCAAGCCCCAGCAACAUUAGAAGAGUAAUUGCUGACCUUGGAAUUGACUGAGUUCAUGACUCUGGGUGGUCAUGUGACCAUGUGGCUAGAACUGUCUGUCAUGAACUGGGUGCUGGCAGACCCACAGAAUCAUUAGGUUGGUCAGGCCAGGCAUCCAGUCCAUCAUUAUUCAGAUGUUGUAUAUCCCAGAUCAAGCUUAGGCAGAUCCAAAUAGUAUAACUAAUCUCUAUAAACAGAUGGCUCAAACACCAGUGUUGCCUAACACUGUUGCCCUGAUGCCUCUUGCAUAAUCUCACACCCAAACAUUAUGUGGGGUAUCCAGAAAAUGGCUAAUAGAAGGGGAGAAGCCCCAAGCUUGGUUCAAGGGCACAUUAUCUUGGUAUGAAGGAGACAAAAUGAACUGCUGUUCCAUUACACCCCCAGCUGUGAGAGGAAGUCUCCCCAGUGGAGAAAAAUUUGAGCAGUGCACGUAGCCAGAGGUGAUAGCGGGAGCUGCUUCAUGGGCCUGAGAGCUGUUAUGUCACAGCCUGCUCGAAAGGGCCCCACAGUUGUUUAAUGCUCUGCUGUUGCCAUCUUGAAAUUCAUAAUUGUUCUGAGCAAGGUGCUCUGCACUUUUAUUUUGCACUGUAUCUCACAAAACAGGUCCUGGGCUAAAGAUUCCAAGACAAGUGCAGAAUAGAGGACCCAUAGAUGAUAAGACUGCCUUGAUCUAUACGUGCCAUGAUGUGUGUGUGUGUGUGUGUGUGUGUGUGUGUGUGUACGCACAGCAGAAUGCUACUUGUUAGGUCCUCAAAAAUGAUGAGUAUUGUCACCCUCUGUUGAUGGUGACUAUGAUGAUGAUGAUAAGAGUUAUUGGACUCCUCCAGCAUUGUUCUUUAGACUUCAUUUAAGCCUGAUUAACUCACUAUCCAUGAGCCAUCCCUCUGUUUUGCUUCACUGAAAUGAAAACAGUGAAAAAAUGCAAAGCAUUUUUUAUUCAAGCAGUGUCUUUGACCCUCAGGAGCUUAACACAAACACAUACCUAGGGUUUCAAACACCCACUAAGGUUUUUGCACACUCUUCAUUCAACCCUCAUCCAAACAGUUGCAUCAACAGUCCCUAAUAUCCCAUCCCACCCCCAACCCACCUGCAACAGAGUCUCUCAGAAUUCACACAGAUAGGCACCCAUAUACUCCCAGGUCAUCUGGGUGAGUGUGGGUGAUGUCUGUACGAUUCCACCAGUUUGGUCUGAAAAUUCCUGCCAGGGACAGCUGAUGAGCAACCCUAUCAUCUUCAUUUGAAAAUUUCUAUCACAAAUUAGAAAUUAUGCGUGCCCUGGUGGCUCAGAUGGUAAAGCAUCUGCCUGCAAUGCGGAAGACCCGGGUUCAGUCCCUGGGUCGGGAAGAUCCCCUGGAGAAGGAAAUGGCAACCCACUCCAGUAUUCUUGCCUGGAAAAUUCCAUGGACUGAGGAGCCUGGUAGGCUACAGUCCAUGGGGUUGCAAAGAGUUGGACACGACUGAGCAACUUCACUUCACUUCAUGAUUUCUAGUGCCUAAGAAGGAUGAGAAGGUUUGGCAUCUUGAAAGGGCACUAGAUAUAUUUCUAUAGUUUUCUAGAUUUCCAGGGAGAGCCAGAGGUUGUGAUUAUGUGAAAGCUUAGCAAGGAAACAGGUGAUUCUGUGCCCUUGUGGAGUUUGGAGUUUGGGAAUCUGGCACUGGGGAUACAAGGGCCCUGGUUUAAGGAGGGCUGCCUAUGUCAAGGGGAAAACCAGCAAUUCCACCACCACUCAUGAUACAACAUAUCUGGAGGUUUAGAUUUUAAAAGCCAGGGCCAGGAGAGGGUGGGCAUGAAGGACGGUGUCACCUGCUCCUUUCACAUUUCCUACAAGAAAGAAAGCCCUGCGGAGACUCCUGGCUCAGUAAAUGAGUCACUGGCUUUAUAAGCCAAGAGAGAUGGAAGACAGACUCCAGGAAACAAGCAAGGAGGAGGCUUGGAGAAGGUUUUCAGCUUCUGUGUGAAGCUGUCAAGACUCUAUGCUUUUGUGGAAACUGGAGAAAAACAAUAGUGAGACAGUGAGAAAGACUAGAGAAAUAGCAAGGGACCAGACAGGGCUCAAGUGAGAGCCUGUGCAUUGGGGCAAUUUAGAAUGACUGAUGAAACCAAGUUGGCAAAUUAUCCAGGCAGCUUUAGCGAGGGAGAAAAUCCCCCAGAGUUUCAAGGCCCCACAGCCAGUCCUAAUCCAACAGAACUCACAGCCACUGAGCAAGUCAUCGCAUUUGUGCCAGGUGACAAGGAGGAAGAUUCAAGGUGUGAGCCACUGUGCUGAGCCUCAAAGGCUUCUUGACACCUAGAAUAGGACUGUUCAGACACAUUGAAGGUCAGGCUAAAUUUCAGGCAGAGGCCUGGAUCAGAGAGAGCAGGACUCCUUGGAAGAAAUGAAUGGAGAGCAGUUUGGGGAACAGAAGCACAAGAAAGGACUGGAUGGAUCCUUUCUCUUUUCUCAUUUUGGAUUAUUUGUUUGCUUAGCCAAUUUAGGGAGGUACAUCUCCUAAGUGCCAGGCAGUAUAUUUGACACUUUGUUUAUUUUCUGAGCAAUUCAAUUCGCCAGUGUUUACUGAGCUCCCUGAGGAAGUGAGCUGGGCCCAGCCACAGAGCAGGCAGAGGGCACAGCAAGAGCGAAGGCCCAGAGAUGGGAACUCACAGAAAAGUCUCAGGGAAGAGUCAGGAGUCCCUUGGGGGCCAGAGUGGGAUGAGCUAGCUGAGGCCUUAGGGAAGACCGAGCUGAUCUUCCGACUCGAGCCUGGUGGGGAGCCGGAUGAGUCCUGGAGAGAUUCUGGCCAAGAAGCGAGGCCAGGUGGGGGAGGUCCUCCCUCAGCACAUUCUCUUCCAUGUGACUCUGGGGAUAUUAAUAAUUAACCCAGGGGCCCACACAGCUGCCACCACUGCCCUCAGGCCCUCCCUGUAUGACAUCCAGGCCACACUCCCACUGCACAGCUCUGUGGGAGAAAGGAGUCUUGUUAGACACUUUAAUCAGAUGUGCUGGCCCGGAGUCCCCCUCACACCAGUCUGCCUCCUGGGAUAGCCUCCGCCAGCUCUCUGGGCUUCCAAAGAGCCUGGGCUGAUGGCCGCCUUCCCCCCAGGCUAGAGACUUGCCAACUCUCUGCUGGUCAGAGCCCUUUGGGCCCUCCAGGAUCCUGACUCAAUUCAACAAUGACGUCUUGGGGAGCAGGGCAGCCCUGGGAGGGAAGGUAAGCCUCUUGGUCCCCAUCCCAGCCUGGCCACAGAUUCACUGGCCUCAGGCCUGGCCUUGCUCUCUCUGCAGCUUGAUGACUUUGGAGAUCUAGGGCCUCUGAGUGUGGGAACUGGGCACAGAGCCUGUUGACCCGAUCUAGAACUAGCCUUGGUGUCGGGUACCUGGAGAGGAGCAGGUUACCCUUUGGGGAGAGGAAGCAGACAAGGGCUGUGGCGGGAGAAGCACAGGGCAUUGUGAGAGCAAAGAAGAGGUUGCUGACCUGGCCUGGGAUCCAGAGGAGGUAGUAUCUGAACUGAGACCUGAAGGGUGGACGGGAGGCACCAGGUGAAGGAAAGAGAAAAAAAGAUGCUAGAACAGCUUGUGCAAGGACACGGGGACAUAGGAAAGCAGGAUGUAUUCAGGGAACAAAGAAGUUCAUUCUGGCUGGAGCUGGGACCUCAUAGGGAGGAACUAGCCGGAGAGUUAGGACCAGCAGGGAAGCGAGAAGGGACAGGGCCUAAUAAUGCCGGAGCCAUCCAGCGGCUCUGUGGGGAAAGGACCAGGCUGGGUGAAACCAACGGGAGGACUGCAGGUGGUGCCUUGGCCAAGGGGCAGGGAGGAUGGGGCAGACCUAAUGGCUGAAGAGGUGUCCGGGGAAAGGCCCCCCAGACUAACCUGAGAACCUGGGAGCGAGAGCAGUUCUGAGAGAUGGGGUCGGCUUUACACAGUGAGUUUGGGAUGCCCAAGGGUCAUCUUAAGUGGGGAAACAGCACAAGAGAUGGGGAGCCAAGGCUCAAGGCAUCACUGUGGAACAGAAACAAAGGCAUGGACUUUGUCAGGAUGGGCUGGGGAAAAGAAUCAAGGAUGAGGGGAGGGGGCCUGGCACCCUGUGAAGACCAUGGUGGAGCAUCAAGAGAUGUAGCCAGAGCAGCAACUAGAAACCCAAAAGGAGCAGUCACAGCAGCCAGAGAAGUUUCAGAAGAGGGGGGCGUAUCAUCCAUGAUCAGCACCGAUCAAGUCAAAGGCAGAGAGGACUGAGAAGCUGAAGGUCAGGGAACUUUACAAAGAAGCUUGAGCAGUGAAGGGGGGUUUAAUGGUGGUAGUGGGCUUCGCCAGUGACCAUGAUAUGUAAUCAGGUCUGAGUGUGAGCAAGACCGCUGCAUAGUGCUGAAGAACUUGUGCACUGCACACUCCAGUGUGCACACCUUUCCACAAAAAUGUAACUUGGGAUAAAUGGGCACCCCCUGGAGUUUGGUGGUAUUUUGUGAAGCCUGUUUGUUACUGCAGUGUGGAGACUUCCCACACGGUGGCGCCAAAGACCAACACCAUAUAUCUCGGGCUUGGCUAGGGCAGGGUAGGGGUCGGUUUGAUGAAGAUGGUUGGCCUCCAGGUCGUCAUCCCACGUGUGGUGGGUAUUGCCGGAUGCCCAGUGGCUAGGACCUUGCCCACCUCGACGCCCUCCAAAUCUCUGUCAGAACAGUUCUAGCAGUAGGAACUCAGAAGUAAACUAUGCCCCACACACUGUAGCCUUUGCCAGGGGGCCUGGCCUGAAAGGGUCCCAGGGGAGCAACUCAUCCCAUGAUCUGGGAGAGGCAUGGUCAUCCCUCCCACUUGUCCCUUAGGAGAAGGGAGUCUCAGGAAGGAAGGAAGAGCGCCUUGCCCAGCCUGAGGGACACAGUCACCCCACCCCACCCCACCAAGGCCCUGCUCACAGGUCCCCCUAGAGGCCAAAGUUGGCUCAGCAGGAACAGUGGCAGAGAUGGCCCCACCUGGGAGAGAGAACCCAGGGAAGUCACCUAAUGUGCCUGGAGUAGAAGCUUACCCCCACCUGGUGUAGCGGCUGGCCUGGAAACGCCUGAAUGCAUGGCUAAGUGGCCAUGGUGUCUUUGAAAACGGUGACAUGUUUACUGCAAAACCAUUCUUGGAAUAAGUAAAUACAAAGAAUAAAAUAAAGCCGGGUGAAAUUAUGCCCAGAGAUGAUGACCACUGCUGGCACAGGGAUGAAACUCCUGACGGCUCUUGGGCGCAGUGUAUGCAGGUUUGAGCCAAGGAGGCUCCUACUACUGGAGAACGGACUGGCUUUUCUGGUGCCUUACCCCAGCCCUCUGUGACUACUGUGUUGAGCACUUUUCCCUAUUCAGAGAUACAAAACCCUCACUCCCUAUUAUGCCCAACUCUCAGACACACACAGUGGGCAGGAGCUGUGAUUGGAGGUGGUCCAGGCUGGGACUGAAGGUGAAUGGAGUUGGUGGUAGGAACAGGCAUACCUGCAGCCCAAGAUUUACCCUCUUUCAAGCCUACAACUGCCCCCACCACUCACUGAAGUGCCUUAGCAGAGCAUGGUGUUCUGCUCCUCCUCUCAUUUGACCUCUUGGUAAACCAGUUGACCAUCAUCACCUCUGAACUGUCUCUAGCCUUGAUCCCUCUUUCCUCUGUGCAUGUGUCCAACUGCCUUCUGGCUAUCUCCUCCUGAAUGGCUAGUCCCCAGACCCCUCAGAGGCCCCCUGCCCAAACUGACCAUAUCACCUUCCCAUAACCUGCCCCUCCAGGCCUCUCCACAUCAUUGAAAAAUACCAUCAUCUACCCAUCACCCAGACCCAAAACUCUGGCAUGAUCUAGAAUGCUGGCCUCCCUAGACCUCACAUCCCAUCAGCCCCCAGCGCUCCAUUCUACCUCCUGAGCCUCUCUCUCUACUGCCCCCAUGGCCCAGGCCACCAUGACUUUAGCAGGGAAAUGAUAGCAGCCACCUUGCUGCCUCUACCUGUCCCCCCUAAAGACUGCCUGAAUGACCUUUGCAAACCAAAGGCAUGACCACAGAAUUCCCCAGCUUAAAGCUCAGGCUCUCUAUCACCCUCCAUACUCUUUAGCUAGUGCCCAAAGCCCGUCACCAGGUGCCCACAUCCCCAGCACAUACACAAUUCUCCCACCACACUUUCUGCUUCCUGCCAGCAAAGGAGGCUGCUCUUCCCUACUGCACCUUGAACUCUGCUGUGCUCUCUCCCCAGACACUCCUCUGAAGACCUGCCCAUUGCCUGCCUGCCGAAGGAGCCCCAACAAGGGGCUCCUUGUUGGGGCUCCAACUUGCCCUGUCCCUACAAAGCCCUUCCUAACCAGCACACACACAUUCUCCCAUACAGAUCAAUGUGCACACAGACACAGUCACAAUCACUCGCAUUGGUGACAUAAGAGGUGUAGAGAC